GGAUUGGGAACCCUGUGAACCACUGACCGGAGUUACUGAUGUAGUUUGAAAUUUGCCGUUGUUGUGCACUAUUCCUCUUGUAAAAGGGAACCAGUUAGGAGUAAGAUUGUAGGCCAUUGUAAAACCUGGAAAGGAAAGGAGAAAUACAGGAAAGGAAAACCAAAAAAUCAACCUUAGCCUACCCUAACCUAGAAUAAAAAGAAUCUUCAGUCCUCAACAUCAAGUGUCGUUACAUUCUGUGUUUGGCGUCUGUCCCUUACGCAACUUGCUGGAUUUAAGCUCCGUGAACGACUGGCAUCCAAAGAUAGCUCAGUAGUCCUUGAUAGAAGCCCAUCACUCCCCUUGGAUCACCACUCAAAGCGCGUGGAGGACGACUCGAAAAUUCCGCACGAAGUCAAGCAGUUGAUCACAGUAACAAAAGUUACAAAGACAUCAACGAAAGCCGUGUCUCUCGCGCUGGCAUCAUAUCGAACAAGGCCUGCGUUGAAGAAUCAUUUGUCAGUCAAGAAGCUUCUCUAAAAAUAACCAUAGGGAUUGGAUGAACGCGAGAGAAACUGGGGAGCUGCACAAGAGAGAGAAGCUGCACAAGGGUGGCGCGUCUGCAAUUUCUUAUUGAAUAGUCAGCCGAUAAUCCAGGGCAUUUUUUUUUUUUAUAAAACUUUCUGGACGCUUCACUUUACAAACACAAUUUUGCAGCAAAAGUUUUUUUGGUGCCAAAUUUGUUGGCUGUCUGUUAUUAUUACUUCUUACCUAUUUAUGUAUAAUAUUACUUCCGUGUGAGAUGUAUAAUUUUGUAUGAACGAUUUUCAGAAAAUUAUUGUUUUGUUUUUAGAGAAGGAUUGGCAACAGGUUGGUAUGAAAUCUGAAGUUUGUGUUUUGCUUUGAAUUCUGUACACAAGUGUUUGUGCAAACUCCUAGUUUCUCCUAAUAAAUAUAUCUGAAAUUUA